UGUAAAGCGAAGAAGGAAAGAAUAAUAGUAAUAUUUAUAGAGAGUCUAUGUUUGGUGGAAAUAGAUAAGAAAAGCUAUUAUAAAUGGUUCUGGAGCAGUUAUAUCUAAUAGGUAUAAACGGUUGUUACGUUAUAACUUAAUGAGUGUAUGUAUUAUAAAAUAAGGUGGUACCGCGGAAUAUUUUUCGUCCUUUGG
rnacentral:ncRNA from 1 species